rnacentral:misc_RNA from 1 species
UUUCCGUAGGUGAACCUGCGGAAGGAUCAUUAAAAAAUUGGACUCCAUUGGUGAGUUCAUUAAUAAUCCUACCCUUUGUGAAUUUGUUUGUUUGAAUAAUUUUUUUUCCAAAAAAAAUUAUUGAAUGUCUUUCCCUGUUUUGGUGGAGCUUGUAAAGUGAAACCAGGCAGGGGAAUGGCAAACAAUAAUUAUUUUUGAAAAAGACCUUUUUUAAAAUUAAACUUUUUGUAUUCAUUUGUCUAAAAUUAUUUUUAUAAUAUAAAAACAACUUUUGACAAUGGAUCUCUUGGUUCUCGCAACGAUGAAGAACGCAGCAAAAUGCGAUAAGUAGUGUGAAUUGCAGAAUACGUGAAUCAUCGAAUCUUCGAACGCAUAUUGCACUUUUUUAGUUUACUAAAAAAGUAUGUCUGUUUGAGUAUCAGUAAAAUAUUCUCAUAAAAAAUUUAUUUUUUAUGGUUAUGAGUGUUUUACAACGAUAACAAGUUGUUUCACUUUAAAUUCUUUGUUAUCAAAAAAUCAUUAAAAGCUAAUUUUAAAGAUUUUUUAAAAUUGGAUAAAAUUUUCCCGUAAAAAGGAAUAACCUAAACAAUUUUAAAAAAUUAAAAUUGGUUUGAUUUUUCUUGAUUUAAAAAGGAAAAAAAAGUAAAAAUUAACUUGAUCUCAAAUCAGAUAAGAGUACCCGCUGAACUUAAGCAUAUCAAUAAGCGGAGGAAAAGAAACUAACUAGGAUUCCCUCAGUAACGGCGAGUGAAGCGGGAAGAGCUCAAAUUUGAAAUCUUCAAGGUUUUACCUUGACGAAUUGUAGUUUAAAGAAGUGUUUUCUGUUGGAGUUUUGGUAAAAGUUCUUGGAAAAGGACAUCAUAGAGGGUGAGAAUCCCGUAUUUGACCAUUAUCUCCAGCUUUGUGAUACACUUUCAAAGAGUCGGAUUGUUUGGGAAUGCAGUCCAAAAUGGGUGGUAAAUUUCAUCUAAAGCUAAAUACUGGCGAGAGACCGAUAGCGAACAAGUACCGUGAGGGAAAGAUGAAAAGAACUUUGAAAAGAGAGUUGAACAGUACGUGAAAUUGUCAAAAGGGAAGCGUUUGACACCAGUGUUGUUUUCUCGAAAAUCAAUUAAAAAAGGCCGGAUUUUGUGUUGUAUUGACUUUAUCAGCUUUCUGCACUUUUUUCUUGUCUUUUUUAAUGCACUUUUCGUUUAACAAGUCAACAUCAAUUUCUUUGUUGUAAAAGGGUCAUUGGAAGGUGGCUUUCUUUUCGGAGAAAGUGUUUAUAGCCUUUGGCCUCUGCAAUCGGAGAGAUUGAGGUCUGCAGCGUAGAUCCUUCGGGGUUAGAUACAUUUGUGCUAAGUUAUAGCCUUUCAUAGACAACUUGUUGACUAUGAUCAGUCAUGUAGCUUACUCGCUUAUGCUAUUU